CGGCCAGACUCCUACGGGAGGCAGCAGUGGGGGAUAUCGCACAAUGGGGGGAACCCUGAUGCAGCGACGCCGCGUGGGCGAGGGAGCGCCUCGGCGCGUAAAGCCCUUUCGGCGGGGGAGAACGAUGACGGUACCCAAAGAAGAAGCACCGGCUAAAUACGUGCCAGCAGCCGCGGUAAUACGUAUGGUGCAAGCGUUCUCCGGAAUGACUGGGUGUAAAGGGAGCGUAGACGGUUGUACAAGUCUGAUGUGAAAGCCCACGGCUCAACUGUGGGAGUGCAUUGGAAACUGUAGAACUAGAGUAUCGGAGAGGCAAGUGGAAUUCCUAGUGUAGCGGUGAAAUGCGUAGAUAUUAGGAGGAACACCAGUGGCGAAGGCGGCUUGCUGGACGAAAACUGACGUUGAGGCUCGAAAGCGUGGGUAGCGAACGGGAUUAGAUACCCCUGUAAGA
rnacentral:rRNA from 1 species